rnacentral:rRNA from 1 species
AUACGGAGGGUGCAAGCGUUAUCCGGAUUCACUGGGUUUAAAGGGUGCGUAGGUGGGCUAGUAAGUCCGUGGUGAAAUCUCUGAGCUUAACUCGGAAACUGCCGUGGAUACUAUUAGUCUUGAAUCUCGUGGAGGUAAGCGGAAUAUGUCAUGUAGCGGUGAAAUGCUUAGAUAUGACAUAGAACACCGAUAGCGAAGGCAGCUUGCUACACGAGUAUUGACACUGAGGCACGAAAGCGUGGGGAUCAAACAGGA